rnacentral:misc_RNA from 1 species
UUUUUUUUUUUAAUUAUUUGUGUCAGAUGAUGAUGAAUCAGAAUUAUUAAUCAUGGAUUUGCCUGUAGAAUUAUAAAUGAGAACCACAAAUAACAAAUGGAUUAUUGUCCAUUAAGUAACAAUCGAACUCCAACCCAAAAAGAACAAACCAUAGAAUGAUAACGUGACCAAGAUUUCGAUUCCAGGAAAGGCGAGCGAGAGAGGAUGAUGAAUUUUAAUAAAUUACUAACCUUAAAUGGCUAGCUUCAUACAAUUUGUGCAGCAGAAAUACUUGGAGAAUGAUGGAUAACUAAAUGAGACAAAUGAAAAAUUAGAAACGACAAAGCCUCAUCAGAAUUGCCAAACCCCAUGGGGAAAAUUCUAUCCUAGGUUGCACUAAACCGAGAACAUGUAAGAGGGGAGAGGGGGGCGAAUUAUCUCACAAUUAAUGCUUUUAUAUACACUACAAUACAACAGAUUUCUAAAGGGCAGAUACCCAAGAAAUUAAAUGGAAGAAAGAAAAUAAAUUAUGGCGGGAAGGAGGAGAGAACAUCAAAAAAAGAUGAGGACAAAAAAAAAGAAAAAAACAGAUGAUGGUUUAGCUUCAUCUUAACCUUGAAUACCCAGUUGUCGAAGUUGCAAAAUGUGUUGAUAAAGAACUUUCCACCCUCCCUUUGUUGCUAAGAUUGGGAAGAGGAUGACAUGGCUCCCUCAGAUCGGCGAGCAGCCUGGCUGGAAACUGAUGAUUUGUCCGAUCCACGAACAUUGUACUUUUCAUACACCUUUUCACGAUUCUCAGACCACCAAGUUUCUGCUUGUUGCUCAUUAAAUCUUCUCCGCCUAAAGCGCACUCGUUUAAGAUCUCUAGUUCCAUCACGCAAGGCCACUAGAGUUAUAUGCACACCAGGUUCAUACCACUCAGCCUCAACUUCAUUACAGCUGCCAACUAAUGUUGAAUCCCUUGAGGUCACACCAUUCUCACCAUCAUUAAGAGAUCUAGAUCCUUCCCAUCAACAGACUCUGACUCAGCACUAAUUGACUGAACCUGUCCGCCGCCAUUGGGCAGUCUUGCAUCUGGAUGGUAAUGUCUUCCAUUGGUUGGAGUUGGAUCCAGGAAUGAAGGAUCUGGACCCUGAGCUCCGUUUGACAAUGUAGAGUCAAUUCCCGUGGGGAAGGCAAAGGAAGUUCCAAAGAGGGAGAUCACUUUCGGAAAUAUAUUGUCAUUCUUCUCGUUCCGUAUUUCUUCUAUGCAUAUAUAUCCUUCAAGAGCUCGAACUAUCUCUUUCAUUUGUGGGCGAGACUCAAAAGGAUUAUAAACACAAACUGCAGCACAAGAAAUCAUCCAUUCCAUUUCACUUCUAUCAUAGCUUUGCAAAUUUGAAUCAACAAAGUCUGUAUAUUGUCCAUUCAAAGCUUGUCUAAUUCGAGCUUUUGCCCAACAAACAAUGUCAAUGCCUUGAUAUUUAGGUUUUCUUCCAGUGAUAAGUUCUAGAAGCACCACGCCGAAAGAAUAGACAUCUGAGUUACUAGAUACCCUUCUGGAAUACUCUGGAUCUAUAUAACUACAAGUAAAAGAUUUGGGUUAAGAAAUGUUUCAAGAAAAUGAAAAUCCUUGCUUAGAGAAGCCUGAAUUAAUGAGUUUUUCUUGGUUAUAAUUGUAUUUUUUUUUUACACUACCAGAAAAAUAAAAAUUAAUCAUGAAAAGAAAAUGUCCUAUAAUGCCACAUAUAGAUCAUAAUGCGACCUAAUUCUUCUCUAGUAUGGACGAAAAAUAUAAUCAUUUUAUCUCUAAUUUCUAGUUUUCUUAUAGUGUUAUUAUUCCACAUAUAGAUCAUAAGACCACCUAAAAAAACACCAUAAUAGCAAUGUAAUUAAGUAAUAAGAAAAAUUAAUUGUAUCUUACACUUCAGUUCCUGCAAUGGAUCUUGAGAUAUGAGUAACAGUAUUCGGAAAAAAUAAGGCAAGUCCAAAAUCCGUAAUCUAAACAAAAUUAUCCAAAUACAUUAGUGGAUCUAUUGUGCCACAAAUAAUAUAAUUUGGCAUCAAAUAAAAAAAAAUGAUAAAAAUAUUACUUAUGAAUUACAUCCAAUUAUGAAAUCUAACUCCAAUUUUUCAUUAUAGGAUAUAACUAAUUAUAUAGGUAACACUUUUGUUUGUAAUUAAAUUAUACAUCUCACAUUUGGUUCAAAAUUGAUAUCGAGAAGAAUGUUAUCUGAUUUGAUAUCUCGAUGAAUAAUCUUAGGAGAUGCUGAAGACAUAAAUAUUGUGAGAAGAAUCAAUAGCUCUAUUAAAAUCCUAUAAAAUUUCAAGCAGUGAUCGGUUACUCACAGUGCUCAUGCAGAUAUUCCAAUCCUUUUGCAGGGCCUAUGGCAAUUUUCCUUAUUGUUGGCCAAUCCAAAAUCUCCUUUCCUCCUCCAUGUAAAUGAAGUCUAAGGAUUUAUUGAGAUGAUACUCUAAAACAAGCAAUGCAUUGGCUCCUUCAAUGCAGUAGCCGAGCAGCUUAACAAGAUCACAGUGACAAACACUGCUUAUGACUGCAAUCUCAUGGACCAAUUAUUCUCUGGUCUGUUCCUGGAAAUAGUGAGGUUUCUUAAUAGCAAGGAUUUCACCGUGUAGGGUACCCUUAAAGACUUGAUCAAAACCACCCUGGCCAAGGAUGUAGUCGUUGGAGAAAUGACCAGUUGCUUUUGAUAGUUGUUCAUAACUAUAUUGUGUUGGCCCAAUAUUACUGGGCAUUCCCGAGGGAAAAGCCGUCAAAAGCCUUUCACCGGAUCCAUUCGCCGGGUCAUCUUUCGGACGGGGUUUAAUAACACUGGUUUGUACAGAGGCGCUCAGGCUCCCAUUGUCGGACACAGAAGCUAUGGGUGAAGAACCUUCCUCUGACCCUUCUCGAACUGAUGAUGGUGGUCUAGGAGGAGCAACAUAAACAACCUUCAAUUUGCAGUCUUCAACAUGAUGCCCUGCCUCUUUAUUGAACAUCUCUGCAUUGACAUCCUUUGCAGUAGCUCCAGGACUUGCAACGACACUCCGAAGUAAAAACAUGUCCUUGCAUUGCAUAUCAGGAGCCGCCUCCGUUUGUGCUUGCAUUGUAACUCUAACAUCACAAGUGGACCUUGGCGGCACAACCCCAGCAUUAGGCCUAACACGGUACUGUUUUGGAUUCGUCGUCAUAACCUUGAAAGCCACAUAAUUUUCGCUCUUAUUUAACAGGUGUAGGGAACAAGAGAUCUGCUUCCUC